rnacentral:snoRNA from 1 species
GGUUUACACUUGAUCUUUGAACUGCAGGUAAGUUCAAUGUUGACAUGCUUUUAACUGAUGCA